rnacentral:lncRNA from 1 species
CUUUCAAAAUACAGUACAGUAUCUGGGAAAUCAUGGUUACAAAAACAGGGUUCAAAACAUUUCAUUGGAGAAGGAGUAUUGAUGGCAAAUGGUGAAAAUUGGUAUCACCAACGUCACAUUGUUGCCCCUGCAUUCAUGGGGAACAGGCUUAAGGUAUUAUUCAAUCAUACUCAUCAUGGGGUUGAAUUGACUUCACUCAUAAAUUCACACGUUAGUGCUAUUAUCACAUCGGUGAUUGUUGGAUCAAGAUCAAACGGCACAGAAAGCAAGUAUAUUUUGAUUUUUUUUUUAAAACUAUUAAAUACCAAGUUUGAAAUAUUGACCGUCUGAUCUUGAUCUAACAUUAACACCCACCAUUGUGCUAAUUGCAUUGAAUUUGUGACUGCGGACAAUCCAAAUAAUAUUAUAAUACACAAACACAGAUACUAGACACAACACUAAAGAAAGCUAUUAAAUGUCCCAGACACUUACAAGUGUCAGACACUCAAACAUGCUUUCAACUUGAAGUGUCAGUGUUGCAUAGAAAAACAUUGAUGAAAUGUUAUUUGUAGAGCUAUGCAGGGCAUAUGGUGGAAUGUACUAAAGAGAUGUUAGAAUCACUGCAAAAAGGGUUGGAGUGUGGACAAAGUGAGGUGGAGAUUGGUGAGUACAUGGCUAAACUUACUGCAGAUAUUAUCUCUAGAACUGAGUUUGGUGCAAGCUACCAAAAGGGAAGGAAAAUAUUCCAUCUCCUCACAGUUCUCCAGACUCUUUGUGCUCAAGCAAGUCGCCACCUUUGCUUUCCUGGCAGCAGGUAGGUACUUUCACUUUACAGCAACUUUGUUUCCAAACCACCAAUUUUCCUUUUUCUUUUUCUAAAAUAAUAAUAAUAAUUGAAAUUUGUGUCAUUUAGUGUGCAUUUAAAAUUGCGAGCGCGACUAUGUUAAAUUAUCUUUAUUAACUAUUGAUAUAUCUUGCUUUAAAAAAACUAUUAACGUAUUUUAGUUAUCAUAAAUGCAAAGUGAGAGAAUAUCAAAUUGAGAGUGUUGCACCGAACAUAAUAUUAAUUAGAGAGUGUGAUUGAAAAAAUUGCAUCGAAAACUAAAAGCAACACUUGUUUUUGGUGAAAAAGUAAUACAAAUUUGAAGAGACUUAAAUCGUGCUUGCAAAUCUUUAAAGAUAAUUAGAGAAAAAGUAAAAUUUAUGUAUUAAAGUGACACUAAUGAACAUUGUAGAAUUGAAAAUUUGAACUCGAUCUAUUAAGAUUAUAAUGUUAAACUCUUGCAACUAUGAGAUUUUUUUUAAGGUUCAAUAAAAUCUAUUUUUUUACCAACAAGCAUUCAAUGCAUGUCCUAAUCAUCACAUUCAUGUUUUUUUUUUCUUCUUCUUUUCAUUGAUGUCAAAAUCCUCUAAGAUUCAAUUGGUGUACAUAGGUUUUUUCCAAGCAAGUACAAUAGAGAAAUAAAGUCAUUGAAGAUGGAAGUGGAGAGAUUAUUAAUGGAAAUAAUACAAAGCAGAAAAGAUUGUGUUGAGAUUGGAAGAAGCAAUUCUUAUGGGAAUGAUUUAUUGGGUAUACUAUUGAAUGAGAUGCAAAAGAAGGAAACUAGUUUAAAUUUGCAAUUAGUGAUGGAUGAAUGCAAAACAUUUUUCUUUUCUGGUCAUGAAACAACAGCGCUUUUACUCACUUGGACAGUUAUGUUACUAGCAAGUAAUCCAUCUUGGCAAGAAAAAGUUAGAGAUGAGGUUAAAAGGGUAUGCAAUGGAGGAAUUCCCUCUUUGGAUAAACUCUCCAAGCUCAGUAUGGUAAGUAAUUAACAAAAUC